rnacentral:tRNA from 1 species
GCCUUCGUGGUGUAAUAGUCACCCCGCUCGACGUGUAUUCGAGAGGUCCGUGGUUCGAGUCCCGGCGACAGCA